rnacentral:lncRNA from 1 species
GCUUGCUAAGGUACUCAGCUCCCAGCAUUAAAAAAAUGCUGUUGAUAUACCAUUUUGAUUGAAAACACUUCUUUGCAAACCCUAGUCUUGGGAUAGGAGGAAAAUAACAACGGCUACGAUCACUACAACUGAUUUGCUAUGAUUCUCUCUGCUGAAAUUGAGAUAAAAUUUGCCACAUGCCACUCUGAAAUUGAUUACCUUCUCAACUCAGUCAAUAGCAAAGAACUUGGUCUCACUAAUUCAGAGUGGCUUAGGUCAUGCCUCCCGCUGACAGUGUGACGGAGAAGCCAAAAGGAGCAGCUCUAGGGAGGGGCAGAGAAGGCAGCUCUUUUAUCAGAAUCUUCCUCUUCUUCCCUUAAUGCACAAAUGGCCCUGAGCUAACAUCUGCCGCCAAUCCUCUUUUUGCUGAGGAAGACUGGCCCUGAGCUAAUAUCCAUGCCCAUCUUCCUCUACUUUAUGUGUGGGACGCCUACCACAGCAUCGCUUGACAAGCAGUGCCACAUCUUCACCCGGAAUCUGAACCCGCAAACCCCGGGCCACUGAAGCAGAACAUGGCACUUAACCACUGCGUCACAAGGCCAGCCCCUCUUUUGCCUUCUUAGUAGUAAAGUUACAAGGAGAUCUUCUCUUUCCUCUUUUGAUGUAUUUCAACAUACCAUGGCUUCUACACCAUACAAAUAAAAUUGAAGGAGAGUGAAGAACGUGAAACAGUAGACACAGUUAAAUGAUUAUUCACUGAUAGCAGGAGAAUCAGGCAAAUCCCACCACCUGUUUAUGGCCUCCCAACACAGACUCACUGACCAGAGAAACCAUCAGUUGCUGCUACAACAUGGCUUGAUGAGUGGUGUCGGUCUGCACCUGAGAUCCAAACUUGAGAACCGGGCCGCUGAAGCGGAGCAUGCCAGACUUAACCACUACACCACGGGGCUGACACCACAGUGUUUUUAUUACUAAAUAAAAUAUUUUUCAUUAAA